AUCCAGCCGACUAGUCCCAAACAGGACGAAACGCGCGUCCUGGAU
rnacentral:hammerhead_ribozyme from 1 species